AUGAAUGGCAAACUAAUGAACUACAAUCUAGCAAAAUCGCCUGUUGGCAAAACGAACAGUCAGUUUUGGAAUCGAAAGCAUGGGUUCAGUUGCUAGAAAACAUUCAAACUAAACUACCCAGACUGCAAUAUUCAAGUGUGUUUCUAGCAGCAUUAUCAGGAACUUUACACAACUAUUUCGAGUCUAGGGGGCAACAUCCCAAAUUUAUCACAAUCGCGCUACCAAUGAGAAUCAGACAGCAAGAACCUUCGGAGAUGAAAUUCGAGAACGCAUUUGUCACACCUAUGCAGAAACUUUACCUCUUGCCGAGAGUUGAACUAAAUGAUCCGAACCGAGUGGAAAACCUUAAACAAAAAUUGUUAAAUUUGAAAGAAUCUACGGUGAAGCUGCGCUCUUCAUCGGAUGUGAUAAUUACCCACUGGAUGAUGUCUCUCUUGCCAGCGAUUCUCUCAGGCCCGAUACUUAAAAUGCUCUCCAAACAGUUCCGAAUCGUUGCAUCCGCUUCCGUUAUGCUCUCACUUCCGAAGCGAAUUCGUGUCGGAGCGUACGAACUUCACGACGUAACAUUUUGGC